GACCUUAUGCUGACUUGGCUUAAUGGAGGCUUGGGCCUUGACCUUGGAAUAUUGAAUCAUUUAAUGACUAGGCCCAAUUGGCUUAAUUGGACCCAAACAAUAAUAAAUUCAUUACAAAGUACUUCGAAUUUACUACUCCAUAAAACUUCAUUGAUUCUAAUAUUAACUCUUGGAGUUUAAUCAUAUAACUGAUCAUCAUUUAGACCUUUUCAAAGUAGUGGAGGGGGUAAUCACCAUCCCCAAACACUCCUAAUCUGCCAAUAAAAUUUUCAUUCUUAUCUUAUAAGGUUGUUUAACUUCGGCUUCUUUACUAAAAUUCUGAAUUCUAAGUUUAUACAUAGAUUCUUUUAUCUUAAAUUGAUUGUAUUUAAAUUUCUAAUGAUAUUUUAGGAUUAAGUUUUCGAAGAUUAAUUAUCAAGUAGGUUAUGGAUUCCUUAGAAACUACAAACUAUAUUUUCACCUUUUAAAUCAGUAUAAUUGGUUAAUUCAACUUGAGCUUAUUAUGAAUAAUGAUACUUCGUUAUUUGGAUUCUGAAAAAUGGGUUUACUCUGUAUUUCCUAUAUUUUUUUACUAUCUGACUGUAUUCUAUCACAUGAUAAAUUAGCCUUUUUUAAAGGUAAGGGAAAUUGUCCAAACAGGGUAGUACUCCUUACUUGGGGCAAUUGUCACCACUUAGGCCGGUUUUGAUAUACUGAAAACAACUGAAUUGAACCGAACUGAACUGAUUGGAGUUGAACUAAAUUCAUAUUAAGCUGAUCAAAACAGGCCCUUAAGUACCCAAACCCAAGUGAUCUAUCAAUGACCAGGAUGAAGCUUGGGUGAAACUAAGUGGAGGUCCGAACCAACUGAUGUUGAAGAAUCAAUUGAUGAGAAUGUGGUUAGGGGUGAAAUGCCACUUGAACCCAGAGCUAGCUGGUUCUCCUCGAAAUGUGCUGAGGCACAAUAGUUGACCGGACAUCUAGGGGUAAAGCACUGUUUUAGUGUGGGCCGCGAGAACGGUACCAAAUCGAGGCAAACUCUAAAAACUAUAUAUGACCUCCAAACAAUGGGGUCAAGGUUGGCCAAUGAAAUGACGGGGGAUAAGCUUCAUCGACGAGAGUUAAGGAAAUGGCCCGGAUCACCAGCUAAGGCCUCUAAAUGACCACUAAGUGAUAAAGGAGGUAGGGGUGCAAAGACAUCCUGGAGGUUUGCCUAGAAGAAGCUACCCUUGAAGAGUGCAUAAUAACUCACUAAUCGAGUGCUCUUGCACCGAAGAUGAACGGGGCUAAGCAAUUUGUCAAAACUAUGGGAUGUAACAAAGCAUCGGUAGGGGAGUGUUCCGUGUUAGGGAGAAACGCACGUGCAUGUUGCGUUGGACAAAAAGGAAGUGAGAAUGUCAGCUUGAGUAACACAAAAAUCGGCGAGAAUCCAAUCCCCCGAAAACCUUAGGGUUCUUCCUCUAGGUUCAUCCUUGGAGGAUGAGUCAGGGUCUAAGAUCAGGCUGAAAGGCGUAGUCGUAGGACAACAGGUGAAUAUUCCUGUACUACCCCUUGUUGGUCUCGAGAGAUAGAGAAGGAUAGGUUAGGCGAAAGAUGGUUAUUGGUUCAAGGACGCAAGGUGACCUUGUUUUUCAGGGUAAGAAGGGGUAGAGAAAAUGCCUGGAGCCAAAGUUCAAGUACCAAGCACUGAAGUAACCUAUGCCAUACUCCUAGUAAAAGCUCGAAUGACCUUUAACAAAAGGUACUUGUACCUGAAACUGACACGUGUGGGUAGGUAGAGAAAACCUAGGGGCGAAAGACAACUCUCUCUAAGGAACUCAGCAAAAUAGCCCCGUAACUUCGAGAGAAAAGGUGCCCCUUCACAAGAGGGUUUGAAGAGAUCAGGCCGGGGCGACUGUUUACCAAAAACACAGGUCUCCGAAAAGUCGUAAGACAAUGUAGGGGGAUGACACAUUUCCAGUGCUGGAAGGUCAAGGAAGUUGGUGACCUGAUAACAGGGGAGCCGGUGACCAAAGCCCCGAUGAACGGCUACUGUAACUGUAAUGGUUCUAAGGUAGAGAAAUUCCUUGUCGGGUAAGUUCUGACCUGCACAAAAGGCGUAACGAUCUUGACAUUGUCUCGGAGAUAAACUUGGUGAAAUAGACAUGUAUGUGAAGAUAGAUAUAGACUACCUACACCCGGACAUAAAGAUCCUAUGAAGGAUAAGAGCUAACCUUGUGUCAAAACCCACAUAUCAAGAGACACUCUCCGGUAGACAUUUUCUAUGGGACAUAUGCCUUCCUUACCUAUGCUAAAUUAGCUAUAAGACACUUGGAGAGUGAGGAUCGAAGAAUCAACAUGAUAACCGACUUGGAUACAAGUUUAGCAAUUUUCUAUUCAAGGCAUUAUAUAUUUAUAAAUAUACUCUUUUUUUUUUUACAACUAUAUUUAUACUGUUAUACAUAUACUCCCUUGUUCAUAUAUCGUCACAAAUUCACAUUGUUAUACUUGAUCAUUGUAUAUGAGAGCAAUGUAUUUAAAUUAAUAAUGCAACAACUAAACUUUAAAACCCGAUUUAAGAAAAGACAAAGUAUGGUUUUCAAAAAAAAAAAAAAAAAAAAAAAAAGAAAAGACAAAGUAUAAACAAUGACAAAAAAGAAAAAAAAAGAGUAGGAUUAUAAGACGAUGACACGAUUGACAAAAAUUGACGUGACUAGCUACCAUAGUAAUUUGAUUUUAGUGAUAUCCCU
rnacentral:rRNA from 1 species